rnacentral:rRNA from 1 species
GAAUUUUCCGCAAUGGGCGAAAGCCUGACGGAGUGACGCCGCGUGUGGGACGAAGGCCUUCGGGUCGUAAACCACUGUCAGUGGGAAAGAUGGGUGUCGGCGCUAAUACCGCCGGCAUCUGACGGUACCUGCAGAGGAAGCCCCGGCCAACUCAGUUCCAGCAGCCGCGGUAAGACAGAGGGGGCAAGCGUUGCCCGGAAUUACUGGGCGUAAAGGGCGCGUAGGCGUGAUGGCAAGUCGGUCGUGAAAUCCCUCGGCUCAACCGAGGAACGUCGAUCGAUACUGCUGUUCUUGAGGAUUGCAGAGGAGACUGGAAUUCCCGGUGUAGCGGUGCAAUGUGUAGAGAUCGGGAGGAACACCGGUGGCGAAGGCGGGUCUCUGGGCAAUUCCUGACGCUGAGGCGCGAAAGCGUGGGGAGCAAACGGGA